CACGUAUACCGUCGCGCCCUUGUGCACGAAGUCGACC
rnacentral:scRNA from 1 species